rnacentral:rRNA from 1 species
CCUACGGGGGGCAGCAGUAGGGAAUCUUUCACAAUGGGCGAAAGCCUGAUGGAGCAACGCCGCGUGCAGGAUGAAGGCCUUCGGGUUGUAAACUGCUUUUAUAAGCGAGAAAUAUGAUGGUAACUUAUGAAUAAGGAUCGGCUAACUACGUGCCAGCAGCCGCGGUCAUACGUAGGAUCCGAGCAUUAUCCGGGGUGACUGGGUGUAAAGAGUUGCGUAGGUGGCAUAAUAAGUAGCUAGUGAAAUCUGGUGGCUCAACCAUUCAGACUAUUAGCUAAACUGUUAAGCUCGAGACCGUUAGGGGUAACUGGAAUGUCUAGUGUAGGAGUGAAAUCCGUAGAUAUUAGAAGGAACACCAAUAGCGUAGGCAGGUUGCUGGGACGGUUCUGACACUAAGGCACGAAAGCGUAGGGAGCAAACGGGAUUAGAUACCCUAGUAGUC